UUGAAUAUGAGAAGUAGUUCCCUUGGGAUGUAGGUGAAACCGUGGGUGGACUGUACGUAGCUGUUUUCUGCAGCUUCACCCGUGUCCCGGGGGAACUUCUCCCCAUACCUGGAUAAAAUAUAGCCUAUGUCACUCCCAGAUAAUAUAAAUAUUUAAUGGUGACAGAAUUUUUAAAAAUUUUCCAGUAGUGUUUGAGUUUAUCCAUUACAAACAAACAAACAAAGUUAUCCUCUUUACAAUAUUAGUGUAGAUGUAGACUAGCGCUAUGCCUGUGAACGUAAUUUGAAUAAGCAUUACUGCUCAAAACACUUUCUAUUUAUUUGGGAAUGAGAAAUUUUACUGCAGUAAAAAGUUGGCAAUUAAAUAUGUGACCGACUCCACAUUUGACACGAUUUACAUUUUGUUUUGCGUAAUUAUUACAAUUAGUACUAUGUUUUUAGUUUCAAUUUAAACAUGGCUUUGUAGCAGUUUCAACAAUUAUUCUAUAGAGAAAAAAUGCCAACCAAGGAUAUUUUGAAAUAUCAUUUAUUUAGUAAAAUAUAAAUGUGACUGACACUACAUGCAAAAGGAAGUUGUUUUCGAGAGAAUUUUUAAAGUUAAAUAACCUUCCUUCGUCAAAGAUUAAAAACAGGCACAAUUUAUUAAAAAAAAAAGAAUAAGUGCUUUAUCAAAAGUUUCUAAAAGUAUAUGUAUUUCAUUUACAGGCAUACCUUGUAAAGACCAUUAUCAGAUGUUACCAAUGUGACCAGUUACAAUCCAAUAUUUGCUCAACCUUCAACAUCCACAGCAGGUCCACUUCAUUCUGGUGAACCAAUAUCUAUCAAGACCAGUGAACUUGAGAAGCUAGCAGAAGCAGAUUUAGGCAAACCUGUAAAGACUUCAGGAGUAAAACAUAUUUCCCUAAAACAAGCAGCUGCAAUGACAAAAAAUGUACCAAACUUAGCGAAUCUGCAAAAAACAAUCAAGAAGUUACAACAAAAGAAAGAAAGUUACGCCACACGACUGAAAAGAGCCUUAAGACUUUCUGAAAAUACCACUUUUCAGAAGUGCUUACAAAAAUUUUCGACUUUGGCAGCCUUGUUUACAGUCAUGCAAUUUCGCGAAAUUUCAAAAGGAAAAAUGGGAAGAAGGUUCACAAAGGACGAAAAAAUCAUGGCUCUCAGUUUGUACAAACAGGGCCCAAAAGCAUAUAGAUGGCUCAGUAAAAUAUUUAUUUUACCAUCUCCUAUCACUCUGAGUCGUCUGAUUUCCUGUGCUGGUCUAAGACCAGGAAUCAACAAAAGGAUAUUUAACCAGUUGAAGAAAAGAGCCCAAAAAAUGACAGAAAAUGAAAAGUUAUGCAUUCUUCUGUUCGAUGAAAUAUCUAUUACACCCCAUUAUGACUAUAAUAGAAAACGAGAUGCCAUUACGGGAUUUAUUAAUAAUGGAAAACAAACAAACAGGAACAUAGCGGAUCAUGCACUUGUUUUAUGUUAAGAGGGUUUGUAAAUAAUUACAAACAACCAUUGGCUUACACAUUUUGCAAAGGAACAACUUCCAAAGGAGAUUUGAAACUUUUAAUAAAAAUAUUAUUUCCGAAUUGCAACAGUGUGGGUUUUAUGUGCUUGCAACGGUCUGUGACCAAGGGACUACAAAUGUUAGCGCUAUAAACGAAUUGAUAGAAGAAAGAAGAGUUGAUUAUAUAAGAAAAAAUCUAAAUUUUAAGCAUCAAAUAUUUGAAGUCAAUGGCAAGGAAAUAAUACCUAUUUUUGACACCCCCCACUUAAUAAAAGGGAUUAGGAAUAAUUUAAUUACCAAGAAUUUGAAGUGCAUUAUAGAAGAUGAAGUUAAAAUUGCGAAGUGGGACCACCUAAUUAAACUUCAUGAGGAAAAUCCUUCUUAUAAAGGUAUACGAUUAAUUAAAAAUCUUACAGAAGCCCACAUUGAUCCAAAGAAAAUCCCCAAGAUGAAGGUUAAGAUGGCAACUCAAAUAUUUAGUCAAACAGUCGCUACCAGUAUGGGAUACCUAGCAGAUAAAAGAAUACUUCCUUCGGAGUGCAAAGAUACCGCAGACGUAUUGAUGUUUUUCGAUCAACUUUUCGACUCUAUGAAUGGCAGUUUUGAAAAUUCAAAAAAAAGAAGCGGUAAAGUGCUGUUAAAAUCAGUCACCCCAAAAUCUGAUCACAGUAAGGUAUGGGCGAGGGCAAAAAAAGUUUUAAAAUCUAUGAAGUUUAUUGGUAGAGGAGGAAGGGAAGGUAGUGUGCCAUCAAUUACAAACUGGUUACGUACGCUGGAAAAUAUUGAAGUUUUAAAAAAUAAGGCAUUCAAUGAAUAUAAUAUAAAAUCAUUCUGGAUGAGACACUUAAAUCAAGAUCCAUUAGAGAAUUUUUUUGGCUGUAUACGGUCUCAUGGAUACAGAAAUAUAUCACCAACCCCAUCUGGCUUUGAGUCAGCUUUUGCAAGCUUAUUAAUAAAUAAUUUAUCAAGUAGUCAUUCUGUAGGGUCAAAUUGUGAAGAAGAUGACUGUAAAAUUUUUCAAUCAAUGGACUACUUAUUAAAAAGGAGGAUAUUAA